rnacentral:misc_RNA from 1 species
CAGAGCUGCAAAACUCCCUUAAACCAUCGCGAACGUACCCGUAUCGUUGCUUCGGUGGGCGGCUCCAGGGCGGAGCCGAAGCCUUCACGGGCGCCCGCCGGAGGACCUAUACCUAACUAUUUAUCUUAACCGGCCUCUCUGAGUAUUUUUAUAAUAAGUAA